GACGAACGCUGGCGGCGUGCUUAACACAUGCAAGUCGAACGGAAAGGCCCUGCUUUUGUGGGGUGCUCGAGUGGCGAACGGGUGAGUAACACGUGAGUAACCUGCCCUUGACUUUGGGAUAACUUCAGGAAACUGGGGCUAAUACCGGAUAGGAGCUCCUGCUGCAUGGGGGGGGUUGGAAAGUUUCGGCGGUUGGGGCUGGACUCGCGGCUUAUCAGCUUGUUGGUGGGGUAGUGGCUUACCAAGGCUUUGACGGGUAGCCGGCCUGAGAGGGUGACCGGCCACAGUGGGACUGAGAUACGGCACAGACUCCUACGGGAGGCAGCAGGGGGGAAUCUUGCACAAUGGGCGGAAGUCUGAUGCAGCAACGCCGCGUGCGGGAUGACGGCCUUCGGGUUGUAAACCGCUUUCGCCUGUGACGAAGCGUGAGUGACGGUAAUGGGUAAAGAAGCACCGGCUAACUACGUG
rnacentral:rRNA from 1 species